rnacentral:misc_RNA from 1 species
UCUAUGUCACUCAGACAUGCAUAUGCAUGUGCUGGACUCUAGAACCCUUGGAGCCUCGAGCCAUUACUAUGCUCUGCUAAUCUAAAAUCAUGGAUUAAGGCGAUUAAGAAGAACAUAAAAAUGAAUGAGAGAAUUUCAAGAUGACUAAAUCAGAUGCCACCACCAUUGGCCCAAUUGCUGCUGUGAAAUCUGAAUUGAUACCUACAAUUUUUCUUCCCCUUCUUGGUUAACUGAAUUAUAACAUGAACACUAGACACAGUUUUCAAUUUCAAAAUGAAUAUUUUGAACUAAAUGAAGAGCACAAUGAUGAACUCAGCAUUUAAAUAUGCUAGGGACUGGGAAUCAGCAUCACAUAUUAUCUUACAUUACCACCCCACUAGUCAUGUUCUUGAAAUCAAUACAAACUUCCCACAUAUUAAAUAGAGAGAACAGAGCCUUUCCUAGGGUGCUAAAGGAAACAGACCACUAAAAUACAGGUCAAAUUGGCUCUCUCACUUGCACACAUUUAACGGUCAUAACUUUCUAUGUCCAGAGUUUUGGACCCUAGAAUAUUGACGACUGUGCUGGACAAAUUUCAAAAAUAUAUCCAAGCACAUCACAUUUAUAGGCACAGAAAACUAUGAUACUUACAAACUGUCUUCAAAACCUUUAUAUAUGAUGCUGACAUUAUUGAGCUAUGCACAAGCUUACGAAGUUUCACUUCCUUGCUCAAGAAGGCUCUCGGUGUUAUAACUUCUGCCCCAAGCUCUUUCCUUCCAUAUCUGCUCUACUUCAACGAAUGUGAGCCCUUUGGUCUCUGGUACAAACAGAAGCACAAACACAAUUGCAGCGACAGCCACACCAGCAAGAAUCAAGAAAGUUGCACCGGUUCCCACAGCAUUGGCAAGUGAAAGGAAAGUUUGGGCCACGAUCAAAUUAGAAACCCAAUUCACAGUAGCUGACAUUCCACCACAUAUCCCUCGAUAUGCCUCAGGGUAUACCUCUGAGUUCACAGUCCAUGGAACUGGUCCCAUUCCAGGUGAGAAGAAGGCAAUGUAUAAAGCUAGUCCCAACACUGCUAGCCACCCAUAGAGUGCAUUUGAAGAACCAGAUGAUUUGCCAAAGAAUGCCACAGCCAAGAUGACAAGAGAAACAAUUACGCCAGUUAAGCUUGAGAGAGCCAACUUCCUCCGCCCAAAAUGGUCAAUAAGGUAAAUGCCAAGAAUCGAUCCUGCAGCAUUCAUUGCAGCAACGAUAAGGGACAGGAGAAGUGCUAAUUGGUUAGAACUAAAGCCAGCCAUUUGAACAAUGGUUGGGCUAUAGUACAUGACUGUAUUGAUGCCCGUGAACUGCUGAAAAGCCUGAAGCCCAGCCCCAGCAAGAAAUGCAAGUCUGAUUUCUUUUGAUUUGAACACAUCCAAGUAUCUGCCAUUAUUCUGUUUCAGGCGAUCUUCCACUGAAGAGGCAGAAAGUUGAUCAAUUUCAUCCUCCAAUCGGGCAAGGUCAUAUAUUUUGGCCAGUACCAUAAUGGCCUUAUCUUUAUCAUCCUUCAUAAAAAGCCAACGAGGAGAUUCUGGCAUACAGAGCAUAAAACAGAACUGAACCACAGCUGGCACACCAGCAACUCCGAGCAUCCACCGCCAUGUUCCAGGGACCUGUCAAAGUAAAAAAAACAACAUUAGAAAGCAAAAACAACAAGGAAAAAAAAUAUUUGAAAAUUCUAAAAGAAAGAAUAAUCAUGCCCUAAAAUGCUAGAGAAUUUUAUACAUGCUUAUCCUUUGAUAAGUUUAGUCAUUUAAUAUUUUUCAACAAUUUUGAGAAGAUAAGAAUUUUGCCUUUGUGACACAAGAAUUUUAACCCAUUUCUGAUGAAUUUUUUCUAUUUUAAAGGAAAAUUAGAAUCUUUGAAGUAACGCAUCAAAUUUAUGCAGCUAGCUCCUUUAAUCAAACUAUAAACUAUAUAUAAUGUAUAGACGGUUAAUAGGUGCCCUGCCUUCUCUUCUUGCCUUGGCAACAAUAAAAAUAGUCUCCAAAAGAAAGUUCAAAUGAUGAGGCUAUACUAUUUUGUACUUUUACUGAGAAGACCAACAAAGUUUGACCUUUUUUAGGACAGAAUAAUUUCCCCAUCAUGGCAGAGAGACAAAAAAGCUGGCAAAGCUGGACAAGAGAAGCUGCAGCGAUGUAAAGAAGAAAAAUGGGCUAAUAAUAUAAACAGAAAAAGGUAGAGAGAACACCAGACAAACAGUAUUUCCAGAAGAAAGGCAACAGAGAAAAUCAGAUACUGUUACCUAACUACAAGGCAAUUUUUAGAACAGGCUUAAAGUCACUUGGCUCAUACCAAAGACCAGGGACCAUAUAAUACCUUCAACAUAAUGAACAAAAUAACUGACAUAAACGCCAAGAGUAUGAUGGCUCAGCACCAAACAACCAACAGAAAUAAAUGGUCAAAGUGUUCAAAACCUUUUCAAGUGAAUACAUCAGUCCUAUCUUUAAGCUAUAACUCCAUUUAAGCCUCUAAGAUUCGAACAAGGGAAGUUGGUCUUUCAUACAACUAGUAAUCACCCUUCUAAAAAAAGAAGUAGAGAGUACAAGCAAAAUGGAAUUGAGAAUUAGAGAAAACUUCUUAUAAAUGUUUUCAGAAAAGGGCUUCCAAACAUAAUUUGUAUGUCAUUUUCUUUUAUACUCUUUCCAGAUAAGCAAAAUCAAAGCACACGAACAAUAUUUUCAAAAUACAGUUCUCAUUUUCCAUUUUUUAUAUAACAUACUGUUAAUUAGUUCACCCCAUAUAAGUAAUUAAUCUAGUGAAUAUAAUAAUGCCAACGUUAAAGAAAAAAGAACUAUUUAUAAAUGCUAUUUUGUAUAAAAAUAUCAAAACCAAGUAAUCUAUAUCGUAAUGAUUUUAAGCCAAUAGAAAUCUGUCACAUGCCAUAAACAACCACUGCACCGUGGAUCAUCUAACUUAGGCAGGAAAGAAAAAGGGUGAUUCCAUCAGGGACGUUUCUCAGUGCCAAAUCUUAAAAUGCAAUCCCAAUAUUCUAUCUUGCUGUCUCUUCAAAGCUGCACAAUAAAAACUUUCACACAACAAAGUUUAUGUAAUGAAUAUAACGCAAACUUCCUUUGCAAUAACUUUACACUUUAAAGUAAAAUUACUGCAGCAAUCAAUAAAUGCUGAUGCAAAGAAUGCAGCAUUAGAGCUGUAAACAUCAUAACAACUGCUACAAACAACUCACUUCAGUUACUUUUCAGGCCUUUUCAUUAUCUAAGAAUCAUUUGAAAAGAAAACAAAAAUCCUUUUCUAUGUUAAAUUCUUUGGUAUUCAAGUAAAACUUCAACCAUCUAAACGUCACAAAACUUUGACCAUCUAAACGUCACUAUUAAAGAAAAGAAAAAGAAAAUGAAAGAAAACUUAAAUUUUGACAUCAUAUUGAUGUCAUUAAAAUGCCCUCCAUCAAUCACAAUUCAAUAAACUAUUAUAAAUCAAAUAAAAAGGGAUAAAUUGAGACAAAAAUAAAGAAACAAAUCUGUGUUCUUCUCCCUCAAACCAGCCGAACUCCAUGAGAGAAUUGCUUCCACCAUUUUCUUGCAAUUUAGCUUUAUUUCCUCAUGCUUCUCACCCUAAAAGCCCUAACCACCUUCACUAAAAAUUACACCCACACCAAGGAGAAGUGUUUGGCAGCCAAGAAAGAGUAAGAAAGUGAAGAAAAAAAAAUUGAAGUCUUGGUUAGCUUAGAUUUGAGCUACAAGAGGUUAGUGCUUACUUUCCCUUCUUUCUUUCAUUAGAUCUUGAAUUGAAGUUAGGGGGAGUUGAUAUUGCAUGAAAAAGUAAGAAAACAAGGGGUAUGGGAAUGACCAAAAUUUCAGUAGCCAUGGUGAAGGGUGUUCCUUGAAGUUUUUAAUUGAUAUGAUUUGGGUUAGUGAGGUUGAUUGAUGAAUUUAUAUGUAUUAAAUAUUGAAUUGCUUGGAAUAUACUUGAGAUUAAAAUUUUUCAUUAGGGUUUGACCAUAAAUUAGGACCUUUGUGAAAUUGUUGGAAAUUUGCAUCUUGAGAUUGGUUGUUUCUUAAUUAAAGUGCCAUAUAUGUCAAAUUUGUAGUUUAGGAGAUUGGAGGACAUGAAUUGGGAGUGCACUUUUCCUUGUAGGUUUGGGACUUUAUAAGUCCAGUGUAUUGGUUGAACUAUAACUGAAAUUGUGCAGCUCCAAUUGGUAUGAGGCCAAUUGAAGGUGAAACUAGACCCAAAAUAG